GCGGUUGCGUGAAAUAGUUCACGUAGUGGUCCCGCUAACAUCCCGCACGCAACUGUAGGGAGUCUCCUUAAAUCGAAUUUUGCGAUUUAUAUUCGUAAAAGACGCUGUUUUGGUCAGCUGUGGUCAAAAUAUUUGAUCGGACGCCAUUUUGCGAAAAUUAAACGAAGCCAUUGUGUUUGCACUGAUCUUCAAUCAGGCAAGCCACUGUGGUGACUGUGCCACUGCUACCAAAAUAUCAUCAAGCC